GAUCAACGCUGGCGGCGUGCCUAAUGCAUGCAAGUCGCACGGGCAGCCUUCGGGCGGUCAGUGGCGAACGGCUGAGGAACACGUACGAAUCUGCCCUCGGUGGGAAUAACGCACCGAGAGGUGUGCUAAUACCGCGUACGCGCGCAAGCGGAAAGCAGCGAUGCGCCGGGGGAGAGCGUGCGGCCCAUCAGAUCGUUGGCGGGGUAACGCCCACCAAGUCGAGACGGGUCGCUGGUCCGUGAGGACGAUCAGCCAGACUGGGGACUGCGACACGGCCCAGACACCGUACGGGUGGCAGCAGCAAGGGAUCUUCGGCACUGGGCGCAAGCCUGACCGAGCAACGCCGCGUGCAGGAUGAC
rnacentral:rRNA from 1 species